AGUAAAAGUCAAGGUAAGUGAUUGAUUUCUUUAAUUUUUGAAGAUGGAAUGGUUGAUUGUUUGUUGCUAACACCUUUUUUACAUUAAUAUGAGACAAAAUCACAUAAUAGAAAAGGUCUUCAAAUUUAGAUCUUUUUACUUUGGUCAUCGAACAGUAAGGGGACUUUAUCGUGCCAACGCGUAUUGUUUCACAGGUACGGUUUUUAGGGUCUCAUCCAAAAUGCCAAUUAGUUUAAUAUAUUUUUUAACAUUGUCAAAGAAUGACCAUUCAUUAUCUAUGUAGCGUCUUUUAUUUGACGCGGUGGCGGUAACAAAAUUGCACUCAGUACCUACCGGUAACCAAGCGAAAGUUCUUCCAAUGUGCUACAACAUGUAGUAGCCUUUUAAGGUUGAAUGUACAAAAUUGUGCGGCAUUUUAUGGCAUAUGUUAAAUGUGCUGAAAAACAUUAUUCACAUAGUAUCUAAAAUUAACAUUUGCUUGACUUAUUUUCAUUGGCUUAACUUAUUGACUUGUUUAUCUUCAUUCUGUUAUGAUCUGAAAUUGUCGAGAAAAUAAUGACCUGUAAUAAAAGAAUUCAUUAGAAUAAUACUAUAGAAAUUUUCUUUAUUUUUAAAAGCUAAUACUCAGUUAAUACAUAUAUAUCUUUUGUGUAAGCCAAGUUAUCAGUGAAACAAACAUGAGAAUAUUGUUCUAAAAUAGACAAAAGGCAGACUGUUACACAUUUAAAAAUGCUUUAAAAAGAAAGUAACAGGAUAUAUAAUAUUUGAAAUUUAAAAAAAAAAAUUGCAAGAAUACUUUUUGUAGAAACAGAAUGUGAAAAUUCAUUGAUUAUAUCAGCGUUAAAUGUCAAUUUUUCUGAUCCAAGAUAACAUAUUAUCGUUUAUGUCGUUAAAAUUAAUCUUUAUUUUUCAUUCUUAGGUGAAAGAAAAAAUAUUACAGAAGAAUGUCAAUUUGUUUUUCAUGCAGUUAUUGGAAUCAUUGCCUUUCAGCUUUUAAUACUGAUCUUUGUUUUACUUCUUUUUAUAUACAGACAUCGACGACAAGGAAAGUAUGAGGUCCAAAAUAUCAUGGCCAAGUCAGUAGACUCAACCAAUCAGGUACAAGAACUGCAACUGAUUCGCUAUGAAGAAUUUGAGGACAAUAUAAAUUGUAUUCCAAAAAGUAUAAGUGAGAUAACAUAUCAUAAGGUACACCAUAACCAAAGAA